UACAGAGGGUGCGAGCGUUGUCCGGAAUCACUGGGCGUAAAGCGUGCGUAGACGGUAGCGUAAGUCAGAUGUGAAAGCCCCGGGCUCAACCUGGGAAUUGCAUUUGAGACUGCUCUGCUCGGGUGCGGAAGAGGGAAGCGGAAUUUCCGGUGUAGCGGUGAAAUGCGUAGAUAUCGGAAGGAACACCAGUGGCGAAAGCGGCUUCCUGGUCCGACACCGACGUUCAGGCACGAAAGCGUGGGGAUCAAACAGG
rnacentral:rRNA from 1 species